rnacentral:lncRNA from 10 species
CUGAACUGUGGCCACUUGCACUCCUGUUGCCUCCCCAGUGGCUUGAACUCCAGAACUUGCCACCCUUCAGUGGAAUUCCUGGAGGAGUGAGGAGCUCUGUGCUAUGCUUGGCCACCGAACAUGGGCCAUCUCUUCUAUUAUGGUUUGAAAUGUCCUCUAGUGUCUUGUUUGGUAAUUUUCUAAUAAUAUGGGGAGACCGCGCGGGUGUCCGCUAGCUUGUCUGCUGGUUCUUACUCAUGGUGCCUUCUUCCCUUUCAGACUUGGAUAUCUUUGUGUGCGUCUUGGGGCCCUUUGAAGGGUGUCUGUGGGGUUUCCGUGAGGCCAAGGACAGAGGUUCCUUCUCACAAGGAUAGUGUUUACUUUCACAUGGACAGCCCAGACCACCUGGAACCAAGUGCACAGAAGCCCCACCAUCUCCGGGCCUCCCGGGUGUGAUGGGCAAGGGGUCCAAGUCCGCAGGAGCUCCGAGGCUCUUUGUGCUUGAAUCCGCCCCUUGCUGGCUUCAGCCUCUUCCCAGCCUGCCACCCUCCCUGGGUGCUCUCCGGAUCCCCAGGCGCCAGUGUCUCCCAUGCUGCCUCCAGCUGCCCCCUGCCUCCUGAGCUGCCAACUUGGGUGCCUCACAGGAAUCCCCAAACUGCCCUGAAGCCUGACCUCUCUCAGUGCUCCCUGUCUUGGUGUAGGGCAUCGCCUGCCAGUCAGUUAUUUCUAAGCCAGAAAUCUGUGCGUGGCCUAACAGCCCCUCUGCCCUCCACACCAGUGACCACCUCCUAGGAGUGGCUUCCUCAACACCUUGCCACCCUUGACACUGUCACUGUCACCUGUGCCCUGGCAGGCCGCCUGCUCCCCAAGUAGCUCCCUACUGCACUCCCCUGCCCCUCUCAGCCCUUCUUGCAAAGUGCCUCUGGGCCAGGUGCAGGGGCUCACGCCUAUAAUCCCAGCACUUUGGGAGGCUAAGGCAGGUGGAUCACUUGAGGUCAGGAGUUCGAGACCAUCCUGGCCAACAUGGCAAAACCCUGUCUCUACUAAAAAUACAAAAAUUAGCCGGGCGUAGUGGUGCACGCCUGUAAUCUCAGCUACUUGGGAUGCUGAGGCAGGAGAAUUGCUUGAACCCGGGAGGCGGAGGUUGCAGUGAGUGGAGAUCAAGCCAUUGCACUCCAGCUGGAGCGAUAGAGCAAGACUCUUAUCUCGAACAAAAUUAAAACAUGAAAAUAAAAACACCUCUG